GACAGAGGAUGCAAGCGUUAUCCGGAAUGAUUGGGCGUAAAGCGUCUGUAGGUGGCUUUUCAAGUCCGCCGUCAAAUCCCAGGGCUCAACCCUGGAACUGCCUUUAAUACUGGGUAUCUUGAGUUCGAGAGAGGUGAGUGGAAUUCCGAGUGUAGAGGUGAAAUUCGUAGAUAUUCGGAAGAACACCAGUGGCGAAGGCGGCUCACUGGCCUGGUAUUGACGCUGAGGUGCGAAAGCGUGGGGAGCAAACAGG
rnacentral:rRNA from 1 species